AAUAUUGCACAAUGGGGGAAACCCUGAUGCAGCGACGCCGCGUGAGCGAUGAAGUAUUUCGGUAUGUAAAGCUCUAUCAGCAGGGAAGAAAAUGACGGUACCUGACUAAGAAGCCCCGGCUAACUACGUGCCAGCAGCCGCGGUAAUACGUAGGGGGCAAGCGUUAUCCGGAUUUACUGGGUGUAAAGGGAGCGUAGACGGCUGUGCAAGCCAGAUGUGAAAGCCCGGGGCUCAACCCCGGGACUGCAUUUGGAACUGUGUGGCUGGAGUGUCGGAGAGGCAGGCGGAAUUCCUAGUGUAGCGGUGAAAUGCGUAGAUAUUAGGAGGAACACCAGUGGCGAAGGCGGC
rnacentral:rRNA from 1 species